rnacentral:rRNA from 1 species
GAGUUUGAUCAUGGCUCAGAUUGAACGCUGGCGGCGUGCUUAACACAUGCAAGUCGAGCGGUAACAGGCGUAGCAAUACGUGCUGACGAGCGGCGAACGGGUGAGUAAUGCUUCGGAAUCUUCCUCGUAGUGGGGAAUAACCUGGGGAAACUCAGGCUAAUACCGCAUACGAACUACGGUUGAAAGCGGGGGAUCGCAAGACCUCGCGCUAUGAGAUGAGCCGAAGUCGGAUUAGCUAGUUGGUGAGGUAACGGCUCACCAAGGCGGCGAUCCGUAGCUGGUCUGAGAGGACGACCAGCCACACUGGGACUGAGACACGGCCCAGACUCCUACGGGAGGCAGCAGUGGGGAAUAUUGGACAAUGGGGGCAACCCUGAUCCAGCGACGCCGCGUGUGUGAAGAAGGCCUGCGGGUUGUAAAGCACUUUUAGUGGGGAUGAAAAGCCGAGGGCUAAUACUCUUCGGUCUUGACCUAACCCAAAGAAAAGCACCGGCUAACUCUGUGCCAGCCGCCGCGGUAAC